CGUGAGCUGUGGUGUAGGUCGCAGAUGCGGCUUGGAUCCUGCAUUACUGUGGCUGUGGUGUAGGCCGGCGGCUACAGCUCCGAUUGGACCCCUAGCCCAGGAACCUCCAUAUGCCGCGGGAGCGGCCCAAGAAAUGGCAAAAAGACACACACAAAAAAAGCUUCUAAAUAAAAAAUAAGUCGAAUGUAGUCAAGGAUGAAUUGAUGCCAUAUGAAAACUAGUUUUUUCCUAAUUCUCAAAAUCACAUUUUGUGCUAAUUAGGUGUUUAUGAUAGUAACCAAACAACUAUUUUAUUUAAAAAGACUUAACUCAGAUAUAUAACAUUACAAAGAUAAUUUUUAAAUAUUUUACCAAUAACCUUUUCUUUGGCCACGUGUCCUUCCUUUUUUUCCCAUAUGCUUAUGAGAUAAUUAAGUCUUUAAGGAGGGGUGACAAAACAGGAUGACUACAUUAGAGAGUUGUUCUGGUAACUUUGAACUGCCGUGAUCAUGGAAACGAUGUUAUUUUCAUUUCAGAGUUUAGGCAGACGACUUAACCCACAGGCUUAUUUUCAAAUGUUCCUGAUCCGUAAGCCCAAUAGGCUUAUGUUCUAUAUUUAGUAUUGAUUUAGUAUUACCAGGAAGCAAUAACUCUUUGGACCCUGGUCUCGUAUGUUCUCGGUUAGAGAGCAAGCACAGAAGAUAAGCAGUGUCUGAAAGUUUGCAGAUCAGAGAGCUGGAAUUUUGGCAUUAUCCUCAAAUACAAGUCUUUCCGGACCUCCCUUAGAAGAGUUGUUCUUAAGCAUUUCUCCUCAUCCCAGGUACCCAAACAGCUUAGGGAAGCUAUGAGGUAUGCGGGGGGCAGGGGGCGGGGGCACAGAGAGAGGAGUUAGAGAAAACAUGUUGCUGGAGUUCCCAGGCUAGGGGUCUAAUCGGAUCAGAGCUGCAGCUGCUGGCCUACACCACAGCCACAGCAACAUGGGACCUGAGCCGUGUCUUCGACCUACACCAUAGCUCACGGCAAUGGCAGAUCCUUAACCCACCGAGCGUGGCCAGGGAUCGAACCUUUGUCUUCAUGGAUCCUAGUCGGGAUUGUUAACUGCUGAGCCACGAAGGGAACUUCCUAGAUCACCUUUUAAAUGCAUGUGAAAAUAGUACUGGAUGCAUAGACCUGGGAGGAUUAAAGGACUGAAGAUUCUCCAUCAACUAAUGCACUGUCCCCGGUUCCUGUGUUCCCUCUCAUUUUACCAUAUUUCUCUACUCUUCUCAUAUAAUUUUUUUGAAAGUCAAGUCCCCACUAGUCUCCACUUCUGUAUUUUUACAGCCCAUUCCUUUGCUCACCGCACUCGCUUCUGUCUACACCUCUCCAUUUCUCUCAACUACAGUAAAACUGCUCAAGCAAAGUUCACUAAAGCCAGUGGGUGCUUUUGAGUUCUUAUCGUACUUGACUUCUUGACUCUAUUUAAUGUCCCUGACAGCCAAGAGCCAUCACAUUGUUCUCUGCCAGUGUGCUUUGGCAGAUGACCCAAAGAUAAGAGUAACUCAUUAGAUGACAGGACCCAGACUGAAAAGGCCUUCCAUUGGCUAUGACUACACUUGGACUGUCUACCUGGCCCCUCCGCACUAGCAGAGAUUUAAUAGGCACCUAAGCAAAAUUACAGUCUGGUCUUUCCUUGGCAGAGGACCUUCAGAUAUGGAGCGCAGUGAACUGUAGGUGCCUGGGAGGUAAAAGGGCAGAAGGAAAAAUUGAGAGGAGGAGGAUACUGAGACCAGGGUGUCAAGAGGACAAUGACAUCGACUAGCCAACUUGCUUGUGAAAAAUGCCAUGGGGUCAAAGACAGCUCAAAGCGGAAAACACAUCAGAAAGCAAAAUGCACUUGUGUACGUAGAUAACACAUACGUAAUUCUUGUUGAGUAGAAAAAGUAAAAGUUAAGAUGUGUGCCUACUUAUAAAACCUAUGAAAAUCACCAGAGGUAUGGUGGUGAGACCAAAAGCUGGGGAACUGUCAAAAUUCCCAGCCAUCAUCCAGAUGGAGUCAGGCAGAAGACCCCUGAAAAAGGGCCACACGGGAGCAGAGUGAGGUCAGUGAAGAAAGGACCUAGGUUUGAGUUCUAGUUUUGCCACUAGUAAGCAGUAACUCUGAGCAGGGUACCCUUCCCCUCUCCCAGCCUCAACGCUCACUCCGUGGUUCCGAACCACUGGGUUGUCUUAUAGAGCAAAUAAAGAUAAAGCGAUUUUAAAUGAAAUUAGCUGGUUCAUGGUAGAUAACAGGACAGAUAAAUAAUUGCUAUUCACUUUUCCACACAAUGAUCCUUCAGAUAUAAAAGUGAAGCUGUCCUGUCACUUUUUAAAGUUUUAAAAAAUAUUUUCACUAUUCACAGAUGACUUGAUGCUCAUGUCAAAAUUAGAACAUACAGAUAAGUUUAAAAAAAAAAAAAGUCCCUCAUAAUCUUGGGAACCAUAGGUCACUGUUAAUAUUUUCUAUAAAAUCUUCAAUGUUUCUAUGCAUAUAUAUAAUUAUAUAAAAUAGGCUCAUAUUACACCUACUGAGUUGUAUUCUGCUGUUUUCACUAAAAAAUUGGAAAUAUCUUCACAGGUCAGUAAGAACACUCUAUCAUUCUUAUUGGUUGCAUAAUGGAACAUUUUGUGGCUGUGUCACAAUGUAUCAUCGGACAGUUGUUUGCAGGUUUCGUUGUUGCCAUUAUUUUGCUAUUGCAAACAGUGCGGAUCUAAUCAUGAAGAAAUAGCAGAGAAUCCCAGAUUGAAGAAUAUUGUACAGAACCGCUGGCCCGUACUCUUCCAAAAAGUCAACACCUUGAAAGACAAAGGCUGAGGAACUGUUCCGAGUUGAAAGUGACCAAAGAGACAUGGCAACUCAAUCCUGAGUUGGAUCCUGUUCAGAAAAAGAAUUCUUGCAAUGAAGGACAUUUUGGGGACUGUUACCUCAAUGUAAAUAUGCAUUUCAAUUAGUUGAUAUCAAAUCAAUGUCAAUUUCCUGAUUGUGAUCACUGUUGUUACAUAAGAGAAUAUCCUUGUUCUUAGAAAAUACAUACUGAAAUGUUUAGGAG
rnacentral:lncRNA from 1 species